UCUCCUCUUGUUCUUACUUAUAGAGUAGCUCAUUUUUUACCCCCCUUCCCUUCACCCAGUUCGUUAAAAGCAGAGGGGAAUGUGUUAACAGGGGAUGCGGAUGGAGGGAGGAGCAGAAAGGAGAGAUAAAGAGAGAAUGUGGCUAAGAGCGGGGCACAGCGCCUGCUGUCUUCAUCCCUGCACCGCGAGCGGCAUUCUCUCUCUGCCAGUGAUGAGGACUCUUAAAGAGGACAAAGAAGGAAGAAAGAAGGCCUGAACAAAGAAUAGUGAAAAAGCUCUCUGAGGAAUGAGGAUACCAGGAUUUUUCUGCAUUGAUUUGAGUCCCACUGAUUCUCUCAGACAUGUUUAAUUUUCCUGCUCUUUUCUUCCAUGUCAAUCCACUACUUUUCUGUGCUGGGAGAAGAUAUCAAAGUUCAUGUCAAUGUCGGCAGUUACAAUGUAACAGAUGAAACAAAAUGUACAAAAAAAACCUUCCAACCCAGAGGUUGAUAAACAAUGAAUCUUUGGGAAGAUUCAGCAGCCAUCCGCCACCUGCAAAGAUCAACUGGAGUGCCAGGGUUGAAAGGAAGGGGACUCACACAAUAGAUGCCCCCCUACAACCCUCUCUUUUAUCCUCACCAUCCAACACACAUGGGCACACUGCCAACUCGGAAUCUUAAGAACUCUCAUUCAAAGAACCCCCCUUAAGAAGGGGAUUUGUUUAAAGCCAGGACCCAUUCUCUCUCCCAGUCCUUGUAUUUGUCCCCUUUCAUAUCCCCAUGAGAAGAGCGAUUUUUGCUUGAUUAUUCUCCGACACUGCAACUGGGAUUUCUAAAAUUGCCACUCCAGCAGCGUUUUGUCAGAUUUAUGAAUUUUAUCAGUGAGGGGAUGCCAUUCUCGCUACAGCGUGGACACAGCCAGAGGAGGAGGAAAUGGAGUCAGAAGAGCUGCACAGAAGACAUCGCACUAAUGGAAGAAGAAAAUAAGGAAGAUCCAGAGAUGACUGACCCCUGUUGACUUACGGAAGAUGAACUCAAGGCCACACUGCUCAAAUAUGGAGUAAAAGCUGGAGCCAUUGUAGGUGCAGCCUCCGUCUGUAUCUCUGGGAGGCGGUCGUGAGGAUUCCUCCUAUUCCUCUUCUCAGAGCUUCAGCAUUACUGAGAUGGUAGAGGAGGGAAGUUUGUUUUUGAUCUGGUUUUUAUCUAAUCUUGACAAUCACAUCAACCUAAAUAUCUAAUCCCCACUAAAGUGAUGACCAUUGAGUGAUAUGCUGUAUUUACGUUUUCCUCUGGAAUCACAGAUUGAGAGUCAACGCCCUCUCUCCAGUAGUAGAACACAGAAGCACAAUGGGAGUAAUAUUCUGGUACCUUGGCCAAGGCCCCACCGGGAGCUGGUCACAGAUGUCCUGAUGGAGAUGUUCCUAGAGACAGAACCUAUACACACUGGCAUUGUUGCCACCCGUCGGAGGCCUAUCAAGGGUGCAGCGAGGCGACCAGUCCAGUUUAAAUACCCAGACCUGCCUGCUAGUCCCAUGACCCUACAGAGACAGGCAUUGGAGCGCCGCCUGGUGCCUCUGUGGGCCCAGAUCCUGGUCUUCCUCAUCUUGACUUGCCUCCUCUACCUCAUCUACUCUGCCAUGGAGCACAGCUCGAACCAUCCCUUUGUGGCCUUGCUGGACAACCUCAGUAUGGGGACGGAGACUGAGGGACUGUUGCUCCAGGAUGACCCUUAGGACUCAUCUGUACACCUGCUUUAGGGAGGAGUAACUCCCCUGCUCUAGGUCUGUGUACUGAUUCUCCACCCUUCUCCUAAAGAGAGACAUCCUUUUAUGCAUGGAUUUAAUAAUGGAUAAAACUUAAUCCAGCCAAUGCUUAUACCAAUCCUAAACUUUCAAAUCCAUGAUGUGAAGUAGUGCACACUUCGGGAAAAGGAAGGAUACUCCACAAAUUGGUUUACAGUUGUUGUGAGGAACUUCAUUUGGUCACUGUAAUUCACCUUUACACUUUGGAUGAUGUCACUCUUAACCAAGCAAGGUAGCCAUUAUAACCUUGUUGGUUGGAAAAUGUUCAGGUGAAACUACUGUUCAAAUAUAUACAGUGAUGGUGGAAGUGCAGAAAAUAAAGUGAUUAAGCCUAGUUUAGAGAAAUAAUACCAUUUUUAGAUUUGUAACUUAAAUGGAAGAUUUUUUGUAUUUAAUUAAAAGUAUGUAUCAAUGACAAAUUUAAUGGAGUUACGGUUACAAUUUACACAUUGGUUCGGGUGAGGUUAUCAAAGUCCAGUCUGUGUUAGAGCUCAUCAAAGAUGUGGCCAGGGACAGUAUUCUCUUGUUUUAAAGGUUUGUAAAUGUAUUUUUAUUCAGUACAGUUUUUAGGCACUGAAAUGUCAAACUAAUAAGCAAUAUUAAAAAAUAUAUUUUGUGAAUACUCAUUACCUUUUCGAACAUGACUGUAAUUUUUCAGUUUCUAUUUUGGUUGUGAAAUAGCUACUUUUAAUAAAAAAUGUUAGGGAAUUCA